rnacentral:rRNA from 1 species
CAGUCGAACGGACUUACAUUGAAGCCUAGCGAUAUGUAAGUUAGUGGCGGACGGGUUAGUAACGCGUGGGUAACCUGCCUUGUACUGGGGGACAACAGUUGGAAACGACUGCUAAUACCGCAUAAGCGCACAGCUUCGCAUGAAGCAGUGUGAAAAACUCCGGUGGUACAAGAUGGACCCGCGUCUGAUUAGCUGGUUGGUGAGGUAACGGCCCACCAAGGCAACGAUCAGUAGCCGGCCUGAGAGGGUGAACGGCCACAUUGGGACUGAGACACGGCCCAAACUCCUACGGGAGGCAGCAGUGGGGAAUAUUACACAAUGGGGGAAACCCUGAUGCAGCAACGCCGCGUGAGUGAAGAAGUAUUUCGGUAUGUAAAGCUCUAUCAGCAGGAAAGAAAAUGACGGUACCUGACUAAGAAGCCCCGGCUAACUACGUGCCAGCAGCCGCGGUAAUACGUAGGGGGCAAGCGUUAUCCGGAUUUACUGGGUGUAAAGGGAGCGCAGACGGUUUUGCAAGUCUGAAGUGAAAGCCCGGGGCUUAACCCCGGGACUGCUUUGGAAACUGUAGGACUAGAGUGCAGGAGAGGUAAGUGGAAUUCCUAGUGUAGCGGUGAAAUGCUUAGAUAUCACGAGGAACUCCGAUUGCGAAGGCAGCCUGCUAAGCUGCAACUGACAUUGAGGCUCGAAAGUGUGGGUAUCAAACAGGAUUAGAUACCCUGGUAGUCCACACGGUAAACGAUGAAUACUCGCUGUUUGCGAUAUACUGCAAGCGGCCAAGCGAAAGCGUUAAGUAUUCCACCUGGGGAGUACG